AAGACUGCAGUUCAUGGAAAUGACGUUGCUUUUCCCCAGCACUUCCUAACUGACUGAAUUUAGGUGAAGUUUGUUACUGUGAAAAAUCCCAGGGAGACCAGAGAUACAGAUGACAAGUGUCUGGGACAGGUUUUUUUAUCCCCUGAAGCUUCAAAGCUCCCAUAGUCUCCACUGAAUGACAGACCCUAAGAAAGUUUUAGAAAAAAAUUGAUUCAGUAAUUUAGCAUUUCCUUGUCAGAAAUCUGAAACAAAGAGCAGCUCUCCGAAAUAUUCCUCUCCUGAAGGGUAACUGAACUGUUCUGUGCAGAGCUGUUUUGAGUAUCUUGAUACCUUUCUUAUUCAGAUAUUUGUUUCCUGUGUUUCUUUUGCAUUUAGCUAAAAGAUGUUAUUAUCUCAGUAAAGGCUGAUUUGUGGAGGCUUCUUCAGCUACAAGAGUCAGCAAUGCCACUCACGUGGGGAAACUGCCAAACAAAGGAGAAGAAGAAAGGAGAAGAAACAUAUUGCUUCUUCCAGUCUAUGUAGAAGCAAUUCAGAGAAGAGAUGCAAUCAACGCUUCUGUUUCCCACCUUGCUGAAAUGAACAAACAGUGUGGGAUUAGUUGGCAAUUCCUUAUGAUGAAGCCAUUCUAUUCCUUACCAUACUUUCCCUCCUACAGCCUUUCCAAGGGGGAAGAAAGAAAGGGUAAGAACAGCAACAGAAACCCAUUUACAGAUCAGCUUAUGAGAGAAAAAUAAAAAAAAAAGUGCACCUUUCUGAAGUGAC